AGACAUAUCACACAGGACACCUUUCUUCUUUCAAAGGGAGGAAACAACGCAGGUUGACACCAGAGACCAGAGUUCAAAGUUUCCACAAAGCAAGGGCUGCCUCCAUCUGACAAAUCACACAGUUAAAUUCCAAAGCCUUGCCUGCAGGAGGCUGAUGGGGCAGCUUCUCCAGGGACUGAGAGGGGCAGAUGGACCUUGUGGGAAAAGGGACUGAGUGUUCAAAAGGGAAAACCAGGGGACAUGAAGGGUUGGAAGUGCUUUACAAGACUGGGUGUUUUGUUCCUUGAGCACUGGAGUGGGUUCAGUGGUUCCCCAGCCUGGACACAGCACCGUGUGUCCUUGUGUGGGUCUGUGUGUGGCCAUACUCUGCUUCUGGGG